AGUGGCGAACGGGUGAGUAAUACAUCGGAACGUGUCCUGGAGUGGGGGAUAGCCCGGCGAAAGCCGGAUUAAUACCGCAUACGCUCUGAGGAGGAAAGGGGGGGAUCUUCGGACCUCCCGCUCAAGGGGCGGCCGAUGGCAGAUUAGCUAGUUGGUGGGGUAAAGGCCUACCAAGGCGACGAUCUGUAGCUGGUCUGAGAGGACGACCAGCCACACUGGGACUGAGACACGGCCCAGACUCCUACGGGAGGCAGCAGUGGGGAAUUUUGGACAAUGGGGGCAACCCUGAUCCAGCAAUGCCGCGUGUGUGAAGAAGGCCUUCGGGUUGUAAAGCACUUUUGUCCGGAAAGAAAACGUCGUGGUUAAUACCCGUGGCGGAUGACGGUACCGGAAGAAUAAGCACCGGCUAACUACGUGCCAGCAGCCGCGGUAAUACGUAGGGUGCAAGCGUUAAUCGGAAUUACUGGGCGUAAAGCGUGCGCAGGCGGUCCGCUAAGACAGAUGUGAAAUCCCCGGGCUUAACCUGGGAACUGCAUUUGU
rnacentral:rRNA from 1 species